GCCAUCGUGGCGUAACGGUAGCGCAUUGCUUUCCUAUACUCAUUCGAGGUGCGAGGCAAAGGUUGUGGGUUCGAACCCCAUCGAUGGUU